rnacentral:rRNA from 1 species
AGUUUGAUCCUGGCUCAGGAUAAACGCUGGCGGCGUGCCUAACACAUGCAAGUCGAACGCUCUUCUCUUUCGGGAGGAGGGAGUGGCGGACGGGUGAGUAACACGUGGGUUAUCUCCCCUCGGGUGAGGAAUACCGGCGAGAAAUCGCCGACAAGACCGCAUAGGCCUGGCGCAAGCCAGGCAAAGCUCCGCAAGGGGUGCCCGGGGAUGAGCCUGCGGCCGAUUAGCUAGUUGGUGGGGUAACAGCUCACCAAGGCGACGAUCGGUAGCUGGUCUGAGAGGAUGAUCAGCCACACUGGGAUUGAGAACGGCCCAGACUCCUACGGGGGGCAGCAGUGAGGAAUUUUCGGCAAUGGGCGCAAGCCUGACCGAGCAACGCCGCGUGCAGGAAGACGGCUUUCGGGUUGUAAACUGCUUUUCUGGGUGACGAGCAAGGACGGUAGCCCAGGAAGAAGCCCCGGCUAACUACGUGCCAGCAGCCGCGGUAAUACGUAGGGGGCAAGCGUUGUCCGGAGUUACUGGGCGUAAAGCGCACGCAGGCGGUCGGCCGCGUCGGUGGUGACAGUCCUCGGCUUAACUGAGGAAGGGCUGCCGAAACGGGUGGACUUGAGGGCCAGAGAGGGACACGGAACUCCGGGUGGAGCGGUGAAAUGCGUAGAGAUCCGGAAGAACACCGAAGGCGAAGGCAGUGUCCUGGCUGGUUCCUGACGCUCAGGUGCGAAAGCUAGGGGAGCAAACAGGAUUAGAUACCCUGGUAGUCCUAGCUGUAAACGAUGACCACUAGGCGUGUGGAGUAUCGACCCUCUGCGUGCCGUAGUUAACACACUAAGUGGUCCGCCUGGGGAGUACGGUCGCAAGAUUAAAACUCAAAGGAAUUGACGGGGACCCGCACAAGCAGCGGAGCGUGUGGUUUAAUUCGAUGCAACGCGAAGAACCUUACCAGGGUUUGACAUGUGCUCGCACCAGCCAGCGAUGGUUGUGCCCGCAAGGGACGAGCGCACAGGUGCUGCAUGGCUGUCGUCAGCUCGUGCCGUGAGGUGUUGGGUUAAGUCCCGCAACGAGCGCAACCCCUAUGGCUAGUUGCACGUUUCUAGCCAGACUGCCGCGUUCAACGCGGAGGAAGGUGGGGAUGACGUCAAGUCAGCACGGCCCUUACAUCCUGGGCGACACACACGCUACAAUGGACGCGACAAUGGGUUGCCAACCCGCGAGGGGGAGCUAAUCCCACCAAAGGCGUUCUCAGUUCAGAUUGCAGGCUGCAACCCGCCUGCAUGAAGUCGGAGUUGCUAGUAACCGGAAGUCAGCACAUUCCGGUGAAUACGUUCCCGGGUCUUGUACACACCGCCCGUCACACCACGAAAGUCGGCGACACCUGAAGCCGCCGGGCUAACCCCGUUGGGGGAGGUAGGCGUCGAGGGUGGGGUCGGUGAUUGGGGUGAAGUCGUAACAAGGUAACCAA